UACGUAGGUGGCAAGCGUUGUCCGGAAUUAUUGGGCGUAAAGCGCGCGCAGGUGGUUCCUUAAGUCUGAUGUGAAAGCCCACGGCUCAACCGUGGAGGGUCAUUGGAAACUGGGAGACUUGAGUGCAGAAGAGGAAAGUGGAAUUCCAUGUGUAGCGGUGAAAUGCGUAGAGAUAUGGAGGAACACCAGUGGCGAAGGCGGCCUUCUGGCCUCUACCUGACGCUGAGGAGCGAAAGCCAGGGGAGCGACCGGG
rnacentral:rRNA from 1 species